rnacentral:rRNA from 1 species
UAGUAGGCGGACGGGUGAGUANNGCGUGGGCAACCUGCCUCAUACUGGGGGAUAACAGCUGGAAACGACUGUUAAUACGCAUAAGCGCACAGUAUCGCAUGAUACAGUGUGAAAAACUCCGGUGGUAUGAGAUGGGCCCGCGUCAGAUUAGCUAGUUGGUAAGGUAACGGCUUACCAAGGUCGACGAUCUGUAGCCGGACUUGAGAGGUCGGACGGCCACAUUGGGACUGAGACACGGCCCAAACUCCUACGGGAGGCAGCAGUGGGGGAUAUUGCACAAUGGAGGAAACUCUGAUGCAGCGACGCCGCGUGAGUGAAGAAGUAUCUCGGUAUGUAAAGCUCUAUCAGCAGGGAAGAAAGGCCGUAA